rnacentral:ncRNA from 2 species
CAACUUACCUAGGGGUCCUGGUCUUCCUUUUGCUUAGGGAGCCGGGUGAGAAAAACCCUUUGAACCUGAUCCGGGUAAUUCCGGCGAAGGGAAGCGUAGGUGCGUCAUGC